CGCCUGUUUUACAAAAACAUGUCUUUUUGUGUUAAUUUAAAGUCAGGCCUGCCCAGUGAGAAAUUCAACGGCCGCGGUAUUUUGACCGUGCUAAGGUAGCAUAAUCACUAGUUUCUUAAUUAGAAGCUGGAAUGAAAGGUUCGAUGAGAAAAAUUCUGUCUCGAUUUUAUGUUCUGAAUUUUAUUUUUAAGUGAAAAAGCUUAAAUUUAUUUAAAAGACGAGAAGACCCUAUAGAGUUUUACAAUUAAAAUAUGUGCAAAUAAUAAAGAAUUUAAUUUAGUUUGUAAGGUUUCAAUUGUUUGGUUGGGGUGACUGAAAAAUUAAUUAAACUUUUUUUGUAUUUUUACAUUUAUGAGUGGAAUUUCUUGAUCCUUUAUUUAAGAUUAAAAGAUUAAAUUACCUUAGGGAUAACAGCGUUAUUUUUUCUUAGAGUUCUAAUCGAAGAAAAAGUUUGCGACCUCGAUGUGGGGAUUAAA
rnacentral:rRNA from 1 species